UACGGAGGUGGCAAGCGUUGCUCGGAAUCACUGGGCGUAAAGGGCGCGUAGGCGGGGAGGUAAGUCGGGUGUGAAAUCCCUCGGCCCAACCGAGGAACUGCGCCCGAGACUGCUUCUCUUGAGUCCCGGAGAGGAAGAUGGAAUUCCCGGUGUAGCGGUGAAAUGUGUAGAGAUCGGGAGGAACACCGGUGGCGAAGGCGGUUCUCUGGGCAUUACCUGACGCUGAGGAGCGAAAGUGUGGGGAGCGAACAGG
rnacentral:rRNA from 1 species